UUGGAGGGCAAGUCUGGUGCCAGCAGCCGCGGUAAUUCCAGCUCCAAUAGCGUAUAUUAAAGUUGUUGCAGUUAAAAAGCUCGUAGUUGAAUUUCGGGAUCAAGGAAUCGGUCAUGCCUUGGUAUGUACUGGUUUUAUUGGUUCUCACCUUCUAAAGAACCAUAAUGUCAUUCAUUUGAUGUUAUGGGGAAUUAGGACUGUUACCUUGAAAAAAUUAGAGUGUUUAAAGCAGGCUUACGCUUGAAUACAUUAGCAUGGAAUAAUGAAAUAGGACAUCAGAUUCUAUUUUGUUGGUUUCUAGGAUCGAUGUAAUGAUUAAUAGGGAUAGUUGGGGGCAUUAGUAUUCAAUUGUCAGAGGUGAAAUUCUUGGAUUUAUUGAAGACUAACUACUGCGAAAGCAUUUGCCAAGGAUGUUUUCAUUAACCAAGAACGAAAGUUAGGGGAUCGAAGACGAUCAGAUACCGUCGUAGUCUUAACCAUAAACUAUGCCGACUAGGGAUCGGAUGAUGUUAAUUUUAUAAUGACUCAUUCGGCACCUUACGGGAAAC
rnacentral:rRNA from 1 species